AGAGAUGGGAGAGGGAUGCAUGAAGAGGGUGUGGGGAAACUCACUUUCUGCUUCUAAUUGUAGGUUUUGGAGAAAUGAGCCAGCAGUUGCUGCAUCCUCACACAGGUGUUAUGUCUCUCCAAUUUGCCUGAGUCUCCCAGAGACUUGUUUACAGUUUCCUUUGCAAUCACAAAGGAUGCCCUGCCAUUUCCUGCCUUGAUUGACAGACCUCUCCAUGAUUCAGGAGGCCACUGGGGAGAGUGACAGGAAAACAAUUGAAAAAUGGUCCAGAGAGUCUGAACCGCAGGAGUCAAGAAUCUCUUAUUGUGGUCUUAGCACAGAUGUACUGUUUCUGCCAGAGGAAGAUGCCAGCCUGGAGUGUCUAUUCAGUGGAUUGACCUGGAAGGAUCAGGUACAGAUGGACAAUAGAUGGUGAGUUUAAAGAGAUGCAGACUGUAGGCUUGGGCAGCCUUGCAACCUUGCAGGGACCUUGGAAGGUUGGCAUUCUAAAGGAGGAAGCUUAUGGCUCAUCCUGUCUCCCCAAAGGCUCAUUAGAUUACUGGGCCCUGCAACUCUCUGUCUCGGCUUAUGUUGGAUUAAAUGGUCCAAAAGGGAAGACUUGAGGUUUCCUAAGUUUUAAUGUUCCAUCAGUAUAUUGUAUAGAGGUGGUGAGAUGUGGUGGAAAUAGCAGUGUAUUCUCACCUCUCUUCUCGCCUCCAACUCUGUAGAAUCCUGAGUGUGGUAGUAGAAAUAUUUCCUAAGGCCCUGCCGUGUUAAGUAGGGUAGUGUUUCCCAUGGCCCUACUCCAUGUAGGCUGUAGAAAAUGUGGUUGGGAAUGUUGUUUUUGCAUAUCAAUCAUCAGAGUGUGGACCCUUGAAGAGUAGCUGCUGGGGCAUUGACAGCUGUAGGCUGUUGACAAGGAAAUGUGGGGAGUGGGAGAUGUAAUUAGGAGCAGAGAUUCACAUAGGGAAAUUAGGCGCUCUGGAUACGCUGUAAACCCUGCAUUACCCAGUCAAUGGGGAAACGGGAGGGAACUGCGAUUUGGGCCUAGGAAUAAAAAGAUUUGCUCUUCCUUCUGUAAGGUGGCC
rnacentral:lncRNA from 1 species